rnacentral:rRNA from 1 species
GUGGGGAAUAUUGGUCAAUGGGGGAAACCCUGAACCAGCAACGCCGCGUGAAGGAAGAAGGCUUUCGGGUUGUAAACUUCUUUGACAGGGGACGAAGACAGUGACGGUACCCUGAAAACAAGCCACGGCUAACUACGUGCCAGCAGCCGCGGUAAUACGUAGGUGGCGAGCGUUGUCCGGAUUUACUGGGUGUAAAGGGCGUGUAGGCGGGAUGGUAAGUCAGAUGUGAAAUCUGUGGGCUUAACCCACAAACUGCAUUUGAAACUAUCGUUCUUGAGUGAUGGAGAGGCAGGCGGAAUUCCGUGUGUAGCGGUGAAAUGCGUAGAUAUACGGAGGAACACCAGUGGCGAAGGCGGCCUGCUGGACAUUAACUGACGCUGAGGCGCGAAAGCGUGGGGAGCAAACAGGAUUAGAAACCCUGGUAGUCC